rnacentral:rRNA from 1 species
CAGUCGCCGCGGUAAUACGAAGGGUGCAAGCGUUACUCGGAAUUACUGGGCGUAAAGCGUGCGUAGGUGGUGGUUUAAGUCCGUUGUGAAAGCCCUGGGCUCAACCUGGGAAUUGCAGUGGAUACUGGGUCACUAGAGUGUGGUAGAGGAUAGUGGAAUUUCCGGUGUAGCAGUGAAAUGCGUAGAGAUCGGAAGGAACAUCUGUGGCGAAGGCGACUAUCUGGGCCAACACUGACACUGAGGCACGAAAGCGUGGGGAGCAAACAGGAUUAGAUACCCCGGUAGUCCCUGUCUCUUAUAC